CCGGGAGAGGGAGGGAGGGAACGGGAGGAGGCGGAGACGGGAGAGGGAUAAUUAGAAGGGAGGAGGCUAGGGUUUCACAGUUAAACCCGACAACUUUAGCCGACGAAAUAAUUAUUUCGUCGGCUAAAGUUACGAAUUUCGUCGGCUAUACAUCAAUUCGUCGGCUAAACCUUCUAAAUUCGUCGGCUAAAACUUUAAAAUUCGUCGGCUAAACUUUAUAAAUUCGUCGGCUAAACCUUUGAAAUUCGUCGGUUAACCUUUGAAAUUCGUCGGCUAAAAGUAUUUUUAUACAUUUGGCACAUUGUGAUUGUGAUGAUCAAACUUGAGAAAAAUAAAUCCGACCGUCAGAUCUGACCAUCAUGAUAAAAUACAUGUAUGGGAAAAAAUUCAACUUGAUCCGACAAGAAUAAGGACCCGAUCCGGAUGGUCAAUCUCGUAAGUCAAACACCUAAACGCACGGAAAAGGUCGUUCGACCGUCUAAAUUACGUAUUUUGGCCGGACCUCCAACUGAAAAUAGUUUUAAAUCGAUGACACGCAACAAGUCGUAUAAAAAUUUUACGCAAAAUAACCACCGAAUAUAGGGCUACUCAUAAGGGGAAAGAAUGAAAAAUAGCAUUGACCGCAACUAUCGGCACCGAAUAUUUACCGGAAUAGUGUGAUAUUUCAACCGUGGAUGUAUUUCAACAUUCUCGUCAUAUCUUAUUUCAUGACUUUUUGGCGUUUGAAGGUUUUACCUAUAGUUUUUUUUUGAAACGCAACAUUUACAUAACACUUGGUAAACAAGUUAUACAACAUUAGUAUGCAUGUUGUGAUUGUGAUGAUCAAACUUGAGAAAAAUAAAUCCGACCGUCAGAUCUGACCAUCAUGACAAAAUACAUGUAUGGGAAAAAAAUUCAACUUGAUCCGACAAGAAUAGGGGCUCGAUCCGGACGGUCAAUCUCGUAAGUCAAACACCUAAACGCACGGAAAAGGUCGUUCGACCGUCUAAAUUACGUAUUUUGGCCGGACCUCCAACUGAAAAUAUUUCAAACCGAUGAGACGCAAGAAGUCGUACUAAAAAUUUACGGAAAAUAACAAC
rnacentral:lncRNA from 1 species